UACGAAGGGGGCUAGCGUUGCUCGGAAUCACUGGGCGUAAAGCGCACGUAGGCGGACUCUUAAGUCGGUGGUGAAAUCCUGGAGCUCAACUCCAGAACUGCCUUCGAUACUGGGAGUCUCGAGUCCGGGAGAGGUGAGUGGAACUGCGAGUGUAGAGGUGAAAUUCGUAGAUAUUCGCAAGAACACCAGUGGCGAGGGCGGCUCACUGGCCCGGUACUGACGCUGAGGUGCGAAAGCGUGGGGAGCAAACAGG
rnacentral:rRNA from 1 species